rnacentral:lncRNA from 1 species
AGAGCUGGAAGAAAGAGAAGAGGGGGUCACGAGGUGGGGGAAAAUGGAAGAAAAGAAUGGGGAGUUAGGGUGCUGCCAAGUGGCAGUUAGGGAGUGGAAGAUAAAAUAAAAAUAAAAAAUAUUAAAUUUGAAAUGGAUAGAUAAUUAAGGACCAAAAUGAUAAUUUCAAUAAAACUUUGGGAAUUUAUAAAAUUACAUAUAAAUUCGGGGGUGGGGUUUAACAGGGUGGUUUAACAGGGUGUAAAUAGAUACGUUCAAGUGUUACGAUCACUUGAAGACUAUGCGAAGUAUCACAAAUCACCUACGAGUCAAAACCACCUAAUGUGGUCUGUACGACAGGCUAGCACCUGCCUUGGAUCCAAGGUGAGCGUGUGGUGCGGGAGGUGAACGAUCACGUGAAAGCUAGGCCCUGGCCUCGGGCGAAGCACUAACACCGGAGUGUAGGAUAAUGAGCACUAAAUGCAUCUAAACAUAAUCAUACACACUGCAAUUACUAUCAUCAAUAUGCACUCACCUAAAGCUUACCUGGGCGUCCGUAGCGUCAUGCAAUAAUAUGCAUAUCUAUACUAAUGCAUAUACUAAAAUGUAAUGCAAUUGACAUGGCAUUUAAAAACGUAGAUCCAUUUAAAACCGUUUCUGGGAAAAUGGAAAACAUAUAUAUGUAUAUAUAGAAAACCAAAAGCCCACUCACCUAGAGUCCGUGCUACAACUCCCUAGCACAAACAUCGAGGCGUCACAAGCGAUUGACGCCUAGAACAAUUAUCAAACCACAUCUCAGAAUCCUUAUCAAUAAAACACGUAACUCACAUAAAACACAUCCUCAAGGACAUUCUAGAAUGAUUUGAGACCCAUUGACCAAAAGUCAACUGACGGUUAAAGGUCGAUGGUAGGGUCCAUAAUCCUACGUAACUCGAUCCAUAACUUCCAAAGAUCUACAUUAUGCUUCUAGAAUAACAUACUAAAAUUUCAUUAUGAUCCAAUGGUUGGAUCUCCGUCAAUUGCUAAUUCAUGUGGCGGUUAACGUUUUAUUUUACGAACUUACAAAUCUAAUUCAGAAAGAUCCGUAAUUCAGAUUCCCGAUCCGUAAGUUCCUAUGGUCCUCAAAUAUUAUGU